CUGCUGGCAGAGGUAGAUGCUGCUGACAGGGGGUUGGUAAAUGUCACAAGACACUCUAGAGCUUCACCAGCUAGGAACACUGGGCCACGGAUUAACUUGGCUACAACUUCAAUCAUGGUUAAGUGAUGUAAUGAGGAGCCAGCAUUGAUUUAGAGCCACGGAAAAAGGACGGUACUUGUUCACUCAGAGCCACGGAGAAGGCUGGUUCUGGUUAACUCAGAGCCACGGAGUGGAUUCACUCAGAGCCACAAACACAGCCGGCACUGGUUCGUUAGGGGCCACGGAGAGGGUCGGCACUGGUCCACUACGGACCACGGAGAGGGCCACCACUGGUUUGCUCAGAGCCACGGAGAGGGCCGCCACUGGUUUGCUCAGAGCCACAGAGAAUUAAAUCGAUACCUAAAUUCCAAAAAGAAAACUUUAGACAAAAACGUCAGAACUGGAAAAGUUCCUCAACUCAGAGACACCAUCUCUGUAUAAGACACACACACUAUCUUUCGAUUACACGCUAUGUAUAUUAUAGCUCUAUUACACAUUAAAAAUCUUUUUUACAACACACAAUAUAUUAUCUCUGUA